CCUACGGGGCGCUACAGUGAGGAAUAUUGGUCAAUGGACGAGAGUCUGAACCAGCCAAGUAGCGUGAAGGAUGACUGCCCUAUGGGUUGUAAACUUCUUUUAUAUGGGAAUAAAACGUUCCACGUGUGGGAUUUUGUAUGUACCAUAUGAAUAAGGAUCGGCUAACUCCGUGCCAGCAGCCGCGGUAAUACGGAGGAUCCGAGCGUUAUCCGGAUUUAUUGGGUUUAAAGGGAGCGUAGGUGGAUUGUUAAGUCAGUUGUGAAAGUUUGCGGCUCAACCGUAAAAUUGCAGUUGAAACUGGCAGUCUUGAGUACAGUAGAGGUGGGCGGAAUUCGUGGUGUAGCGGUGAAAUGCUUAGAUAUCACGAAGAACUCCGAUUGCGAAGGCAGUUCACUGGACUGCAACUGACACUGAGGCUCGAAAGUGUGGGUAUCAAACAGGAUUAGAUACCCUAGUAGUC
rnacentral:rRNA from 1 species